UCAAGCCUGGAAUGUGCGAUCCCCUAUUUUUUUCUGAACCUACAAAUGACAUAAGGGAUUCCUACAUUGCAUGUAUUGAUGUCAGGCCUCAAGCACCUACCGGAGGAAGGCAGAGAACAGGCUGCGGUCACCCACCUGGCGACGGCUAGGUGUCAGUUCUAUAGGAACGGCAUUCCGGGUUCAUA
rnacentral:other from 1 species